rnacentral:lncRNA from 1 species
UGCAUUUCUAACAAGUUCCCAGGUGCCGCUCCUGGUGCCGGUUGGACUCAACUUUGAGAACCACUGGUCUGAGGUCAAGGAUGGUCUUUGAAAUCACAGAUAGAUCUUUACUAAUUUGUUAUUUAUCAAGCCACUAACCUCUCUGAAUCUCAGUUUCUUCAUCUGUAAAAUGGGGUUAAUGACAACCUGGUCAGACUGUUUGAAGAUUCAGCAGAUGAAGUCUGUGAAAAUUCCUGGAACAGGCCAUUGUUUAUCAGUGUCGGGGAAGGACGUCCAGAUGGGAUAUUCCUGGCUCCCGGUGGCUCGCCCUUGCUUCCAAUCUCUGUUUUCCAAAUUGGGAAUAUCAGGCCCUUGACUUCUUGGCUGAUGCCCGCCCGUGUUGGGGAGGACCGUCUGCUCUACUAGAAUCUGUGCGUGCUCACCCUCCACCCAAGCCGCUCUAGGUGUCUACUCCUGCUCCCCCUUCAGAGUUCUCAACUGUCCUGGGGGAAGCCUCCGUUGACCCCUGAAGUUAGGUCAGAGGCCCUGUUCUGUGAAUCCCUUGACCCUGGACUCCUCUGGC